GUAGUCCAUGCCGUAAACGUUGGGCACUAGGUGUGGGGCCAGUUCCACUGGUUCUGUGCCGCAGCUAACGCAUUAAGUGCCCCGCCUGGGGAGUACGGCCGCAAGGCUAAAACUCAAAGGAAUUGACGGGGGCCCGCACAAGCGGCGGAGCAUGCGGAUUAAUUCGAUGCAACGCGAAGAACCUUACCAAGGCUUGACAUGUACGAGAAAGCCCCAGAGAUGGGGUUCUCUUUGGACACUCGUACACAGGUGGUGCAUGGUUGUCGUCAGCUCGUGUCGUGAGAUGUUGGGUUAAGUCCCGCAACGAGCGCAACCCUUAUCCUAUGUUGCCAGCGGGUUAUGCCGGGGACUCAUGGGAGACUGCCGGGGUCAACUCGGAGGAAGGUGGGGAUGACGUCAAAUCAUCAUGCCCCUUAUGUCUUGGGCUUCACGCAUGCUACAAUGGCCGGUACAGAGGGCUGCGAUACCGUGAGGUGGAGCGAAUCCCAAAAAGCCGGUCUCAGUUCGGAUCGGGGUCUGCAACUCGACCCCGUGAAGUCGGAGUCGCUAGUAAUCGCAGAUCAGCAACGCUGCGGUGAAUACGUUCCCGGGCCUUGUACACACCGCCCGUCAAGUCACGAAAGUUGGUAACACCCGAAGCUCACGGCCCAACCCGUAAGGGAGGGAGUGGUCGAAGGUGGGACUGGCGAUUGGGACU
rnacentral:rRNA from 1 species